GACGAACGCUGGCGGCGUGCCUAACACAUGCAAGUCGAACGGAACUGUUUUGAAAGAUUUCUUCGGAAUGAAUUUGAUUUAGUUUAGUGGCGGACGGGUGAGUAACGCGUGAGUAACCUACCUUCAAGAGGGGAAUAACAUUCUGAAAAGAAUGCUAAUACCGCAUGACAUAUCGGAACCACAUGGUUUUGAUAUCAAAGAUUUUAUCGCUUGAAGAUGGACUCGCGUCCGAUUAGUUAGUUGGUGAGGUAACGGCUCACCAAGACCGCGAUCGGUAGCCGGACUGAGAGGUUGAACGGCCACAUUGGGACUGAGACACGGCCCAGACUCCUACGGGAGGCAGCAGUGGGGGAUAUUGCGCAAUGGGGGCAACCCUGACGCAGCAACGCCGCGUGAAGGAUGAAGGUUUUCGGAUUGUAAACUUCUUUUAUUAAGGACGAAAAAUGACGGUACUUAAUGAAUAAGCGCCGGCUAACUACGUG
rnacentral:rRNA from 1 species